AGCUAAGAAGGUACUUUUUUUAACUCACCUUUAAAGUCCUCUGCUGAUCACUUUCUAAAAUGAAAGUUGUACCUCAACAGUUGGUGUUUCAUACCAAACACACGGUGAAAACUCUCCACUGUUGGUCGUGUUUCUGUCUCUGUUAUUGCACAGUCAGCAGAAACUUGGCCUUCUCUUUGAAUGCCAACAUAUGGUCCAGCAGCAGGCCUGUCCGUGUUCCUUUGUUGGCUGCCGUCAUGUGUGUGUCCCUGUUCGUGUGUCCAUGCAUAUGUGUCCUGUCCUCUAUCAGUGUUUCCUCGUUGUCAGCAUCCUCCAGUCAGCCUGUGUCUGCCCCUGCUGGCAGCUGCAGGUGUUGGAGGCAGCCUGGACCACAUUCAGCACACACACACACACACACACACACACACACACACACACACACACACACCUCCUGGUCCAUGCACCAUCCAUCUAAUCCCAUCCCUGACCUCCUUUUCCACACCUCCCUCCUCCAUGAACAGCACAGUCCUGUCAACCAGCCUGGUCCACGGCCCGUCACAGCUUUGACCCCCAGCUUCCAGGGACCAGUGUCGUCACCCGCCCCCUCUGACUGCAGCCCUCUGCCAGGCAGCAUGCUUAGCAAGGGCAGGGCGAGGCUCAGCCAGGAGGCUGGAUAACAACUUUAGUCACAGGGAAGGAGGCACGGCACAGGCUGGUGACCCCGACACCGGGGUAGAAUCAGCGUCUGGUUCUCGCGGUGGAACCUCAGCAGCUGUUUAGCUGUCACUCCUCAGCCGUCAGGGUUUAGUUAAAGCUGACAGGGCCUGUCACUCUGAGUGGAGAGGAAGAUCAAGAUCCCAGCAGAGCCACAGCUCCACGUCCUUUAUAUUUAUUAGCAGGGAUAAUUGACUGGAUAUGAAGGAGAAGCAGUGAUGGAGACGCACACAUAUGUUCGUGCACAUGUGUUGGUGUCAUGUUGUAUUUCUCUCCGUGUGACUUUGCUCAGAGGGGAAACCGUCUGGAGAAGAUUGAAGGCUUGGAGAAUCUGAGGAGUCUGCAGUCUCUUGAUUUGUCUCUGAAUCGCAUCAGGAGCCUCGCUGGUCUCCAGAACCUCAGUCUGCUGGGCUCCCUCAACCUGGAGAAAAACCUGAUCAGUGAAAUUCAGGAGUGUAAACACAUCCACGACCUUUGUCUGCUGAGGGACAUGAAUCUGCUGCAGAACCCUGUGCAGGAGCAAAAGGACUACAGACUGUCAGUGAUUUUUCUCCUGCAGCAUCUGACCACGCUGGACCAGCAGGAGGUCACGGCGGAGGAGAAGGUGUCAUCAGUGAACAAAUACGACCCCCCUAUGGACGUGGUGGCUGCCACUAAUCACAUGACCCACCUGGUGUAUCAGCUGAUGCAGCCUCAGGUGCUGUACGACAGUACUUUUCCCAGUGCAGACUGUCCAUACCCAAUGCUGGUGCUGACAGGUCCACAGGGAUGUGGUAAAAGAGAACUGGCCCACAGACUGUGUCAGGAUCUACAUGAGUACUUUGGAUACGGAAUUUGUCACACGACAAGAGGGCCGUACUUUGGUGAGGAAAAUGGAAUCGAUUACCAUUUUGUCAGCGAGGAAGACUUCGAGAACAUGGUCCUCAUGGGUAAGUUCAUCCAGACCAUGCAGUACGGGGGCCAUCGCUUCGGUCUGACCAGAGACGCCGUCGAGGAAGUGGCCAAAGAAGGACUUGCCUGUUGUCUGCACAUGGAGCUGGAGGGUGUGUUAAGUCUGAAGAACAGCUACUUUGAGCCCAGGUACAUCCUCAUCAUACCGACCAGUGUGGAGAAGUACAUCAGCAACCUGAACGACCGCGACCUCUACACGCAGGCCCAGAUCGACCGGGCGGUGUCGCGUAUACAGCUCUACGCCAACACCUGCAGGCAGAGGCCAGGAUUCUUUGAUAAUGUCAUUCCCAGUGAUGACUGGAAAGAAAGUUACCCCGCACUCAAGAAGGUUGUGACAGGAUACCUGUUUGCUGAGGAACGUGAUGAUCAAACCAGUAGCACCUUCUCAGGUCUGAAACACUUGUCUUUGUCUGCGGGGCAAACAGGAACAUCACUCGACCCCUCAGAUCCUGCUUACAGGAACUACUUAGCCAAAAUCCAGGCAGAGCUCAGCCUGCAGAAAAACCCCAACGAGCUGGCUUCCAUCAGGAGAAGAGAGCAGCUGGUGAGGGAGGCUGUGCUGGGGAAGAGUCCAGGGGUCUUCAGCCAGCCUGCAAAAAGGCCCAACAUAAGUGUUCAACCCAGCGCUCCUCUCCAGAGCUUGAUUACAAGUGGCCAAUCACAUCCGGACUCUCCUCCACAAGCAGAAGAAAUCCCACCGCAGACGGCUGAUCCCAGGAUUCCUGUUAGUCAGAAAAGCAGUGGAGUUGAAGAACAUCGAGCCUGCUCAGCUGUGACUGCUGCGACCUCAGCUCGAGGCAUAGUGAAGGCUCUGGACAUCGCUGCCAUGGGAAGUGCCCUGGACACUUUGAAAGAAAAGCUGGAGAACAGCAAAUCUCCUGGUGCUGCAGAUGCUGAAAGAGAACAAAAACCAGAAACAGGACAGGAGCAGCGGGCUCCAGUCACGUCUCCGUCCUCCAGGCGACGUCCUGGCUCGGAAACUAAGCCCAUCCUUCCCCCGAUUCCCACUGGACGGAAAACACCAGCACGGCCACGUUCAUGUCCUUCAAGGCCUUCCUCCACAACAGCAGAAGAAGCAGAAGCAGAAGCAGAAGAAGUAGAAGUAGAAGUAGAAGUAGAAGUAGCAGAAGAAGAAGAGGAAGUAGAAAAAGAUGAUGAAGCAGACGUGGAAGAAGAGUCAGCCAGAGAAGAAACCUGAAGUCAUUUGUUUUAAAAACAAUCUUUACAAACAUUUAAAAGACCUAGUAGAUAUUUCAUACUUUCAUAAACUUUCAUAAAGGUAUGACUAAUAAAUUAAUUUAAUAAAUGCUUGCUCCAUCAAUAUUUUCUUUUAGUUUUGCUACAGUCGUAGUGAGGACAUUAGUAAAAGUCAUUGCUACAUAAAAAUGAGGGAAAAGUUCAUUAUUUUUAUAUCUGCAAGUAGGAAAAUCUGUAAUCUGUAAAAUAUAUGAACAUUUUAAUGGUAAAGUAUCUCCAAUAAGUACUGAAGUGUUUGAGGAAACAUGCUGAGUUGCUGAGUAUUCUGUUCUCUUUAUUCAUUCUCUCUGUCUUGGUCGCGCUACUUCCAACAACUUUUGUUGUUGUUUCACAUUUCAGACUCGCGUUGCCAGGUUAAAUAAAUGCUGCCUUAAAUUCACAGAACACUAGAAGCUUAAAUGGAAAACGAUGACGUAGUUUCUUUAACCAAUCAUAUUUGGAGAUGGUAUCAUACUGGCAUAUGAAGGCCUUCUAUCAGUCCCGCUGUUACGUUAGCGAUUUGAGUGAUUUGAUUGGAUGGUGAAAGAACUAUAUGUCGCGACUUGUCCGUUCGAUAAUAAAGUUUUCUCUGCCUCCACUACUUCUAUCCAGCGGACAUUUUCAGCCUAAAGCGAAUUUAAACCCAUGCCGUAAUAUCGACUUUAUUCAUUAGAAUAGUUUACGAUAGAAAAUCCGUGUAACUCACGGAUAAUCUGUACACCAGAGUAAUUGAACUCAUCGUGAGGAAAGAGAGGAGGAUGGAAUGUGUGUACAACUUAUCACACGUCUUGGUGAGUGAUUUUUUUUCAACAGUAAUGUAAUUGAAAUAUGUCUUUAUUGAUGUUUUUGAUGUACAUUAUGUCCCAACUGUGGCUGACGUGUGCUUCGAGGGGUUGUUCUGCGACGGCUGGCCCAUUAAAGGUGCACGGUCGCCGCCCCUUUCCUGCUAUUUUUUUAAUGAAGAAUAAUCACAUUUGAGUAUGAGUGUGUUUUAAAUUUACCAUAACAUGUCAUAUUUAAAAUAUCAAUAUCAUUUUGGGGGAGAAUAGCUUUCGGCUCGUCUUGCUCCCAACAUCUUAGGAAAUUUUGGGGAGCUAAUACAGUUUCCGGUGUGAGCAGCAGCGCAGCCAAUUGCUGACUUGUUGCUGACGUGAGCGAUGCGCAUAGAAGCAAAAAUGUAUCCAAUCAGCGUCGGUGAAUCUUAUUACUUAUUGGCGACUAAUUUGUCGCGUAUCUAUGACGAAUUGUUAUGUGCGCCGUUUCAUUUGCUGAGCUGUCGCCUCGUCACAAGAGGUCACGGGUAAAUAACUCAACAGCUUUGUGUGUAUAAAUGUGUAAACAUGAUUCUGUAGUUUGUUUACGUGUUCACUCUCAGAUGUAAAACUUGUGUUUAUGCAAUAAUAACGUACACCGUACAGUUUUCCUAUUUGUGUUAAAUUGUAUGGGGAUAGUUACUGAAACUGGCUCAAUAUGGUUCAGCCAGAUCUAGAAUAUUUUUCACCAGCAGCCCCUGGGUAUGUUGCUUCUGUAAUGGUGUUAUUAUGGCUACAUGAGUUAUCUAGGAUAUAACUCAAAAAAAACAAUGCAAACGGUGAAAUCCUCCACCAUAAAAAAGCAAAUGUACGCCCCAAUUUGUAACCCAGAUGUAUAGGAUUUUAUUGUGUAAUAUCAAAUUUGACAUAAUAUACAGGACCAAAAAAAUUCCCCCAUACAUCUCAUAAUGACAGUUCCUGGUUUUAAUAAUGGAGGUCAGAGUCAAAUAAAUACCCUUAAUCACAUGUGACUGUCAGACUUAGCCAUGUUUACACGAUGAUACAGCUCUGGAUCCCAGAAAAGUUUAGCUGCACAAAAAAUUACUAAAUUGCAGUUAUGUAAGUGAAUGUAACUUUGU